UAUAAGUUUUUAACAGUAAUUUAAACUAGAUACGUUUUUCAGUACAGACACUGGCUCACGUCAGAAGGGGCCGGCUGGCACGGAACGAACUGGAACGAAGAUCUGUGCUCAAGGAGCUUUAGAAGAGCAAACUCUGAGCAACGCAAUACAUGGAGAAAGCCCCUUUUUGUCGAUCUCCUCUAUUUAAUCUGAUUAGCAUUAGAAUAAAUUGAUGUAAUGACAUGAAAUCUACAUGAAAUCCCUCUCUUUCCUUGUCUCGCACAGAGAAAUUCCCAUAAAUCUGACAUUAGCGAUGAACGUGAAUGUCGUUAAUCUCCGAGGGACCAUGCGAAGUGAUGCUGAACACAAGAUGCUUUGGUACCGAGUCUUCAGCCAAAGUUUACCUUCUUUCUUUUUCUCCCUCCCCUCCUUUGGCGGGAUUUCGGAGCUGCAGCUGCCCCUCUCUCUUCCAGUAUCCCAAUGCUUCAGUGAGUCUCUAUAGAGCGCUCACUGAGCCGGCAGGGCGGGGUAUUGUUUCUCCCUCCUGGCUCUUUGCCAGCACCUUGCCCAGCUUUUGCCGGGCUCCUUUCUCCUUUCUUCCCUGCAGUGUGGAGCUGGUGAAUAUUUAUUGAUGCUGCAGGUAUUGUGAAUGGAUGAAUGGAUGGAGUACAGGAGAGGAGGGAUGUGGGAGACUGUGGGAGAAUUCUGAAUGGACAAUACGCUUCCCUUUAAGAAUGGAGAAAACACAUCUUUUCCCCCCUCCUCGUUCUGUCCUUUAUGAGCGUGAUGAAAUAUGUUCACCCGGGCCAUGUCUCCUCGGGGCAGCUCUGCUGAAUGAACUGCGAACAAGUGGAUUUUUCUUCCCCCCUUCACAUCCUUGUUCGUCACUCAGGGGUACAAUAGAUCAACUCGCCACCCCAGGCCUUCUUAAGGCAAAAUCUGUCUAUAACCGCCGUCUUCCAAAAGGGUUGAAAAUGGUUAGCCGUCCCAUCCUCAACCCCCACGGCUCCGCUUCACACCUGAGGUAAACACGGGCGACUAAUGGACCCGCACUAUCAGGUGUCACAGACAAGAGAAAUAUAUUAGGUAACAAAGACAAAAAGAAGUAGAUACAAAAAGCCCUCGCACAACAUUAUAGAUUAAAACAAAACUCACUCACCCAAUGACAGC